ensembl:lincRNA
UCUAGCCUAUUCAGCACUUGUAUUUUUACAUCCACAUAGAGAAUCCUACCUGAUUUCCCAGCUACAUUCUUGUGAGGUGGUUGUCUUGGCAGAUACAAACUGUGAGAAGAGAUCACUCCUCCUAAAUGCUGUUGGAACUGAAAAUCAACCUAUGGCCUAUUCAGCACAUGUAUUUUUACAUGCACAUAUAGAAUCCUACCUGGUUUCCCAGCUACAUUUUUGUGAGGUGGCUGACUUGGAAGAUACAAACUAUGAGAAGAAAUCACU